rnacentral:tRNA from 7 species
GCGGAUGUGGCGGAAUUGGUAGACGCACUAGUUUCAGGUACUAGCGAGUAACAUCGUGGAAGUUCGAGUCUUCUCAUCCGCACCA